rnacentral:lncRNA from 1 species
AUGUUUGGCUGGAAAAAUUGCUGUUACCUGAAGUUGUGUGUUAGCAGAGAAAGAGAUACCUGCAUGGUGACAGUGGCCACUCUCCUGUCCUGCUGGCAGAUGAAACCUCCCAAAUCCUCCCAAAGUGCUGCAGCAUCCACGUGCAGAAGGGGUGAAAGGAACAAUGGAAGGACCAGAGCCAGUGAGAGCCGGAGGAAUGGCCCAGCAGCAGCUGCAGUCAUAGAAGGAUGUGAACUUCCCAGAGAGGCUGAAGCAGGCAGACGGAGUCAGAGAAACCGUGCAGCCAUUCGGAAAGGAGGAGGGCAACUCUCCCCAGGGCAGGGAGAUGUGCGGGAUCCAGCAGGGAGAAGGAAGCUAUUAUUUAAAAUAAGAAUAAGAAAAUAGAGCUGUAAAGUGGGUGAGUAGCCCUGCUGAAUAUUGGUGCUGAACAGUGUCUGAGAGCACUGGCUGGGGCUGCCUGAGUAAGAUUAAAAUCUGCAGGGAAAUUUUGUUCCUUAGCACUGGCAGAAAUUAGGAAUAAAUUCAAUUGCAUUCUGCACAAUAGCUGGAAGCGAUUGAGGUUAAGUGGCCCCGCUCUCUCAUGUGUUAGUAUUACUGAGCACUCUCCGCUCAUGUGACUCGGUGCGAGCUGCUCUUGGAACACGUCGCCAUGGCAACUGAUGAUUUCUAUUACAGUACAUUCAAGUUCACAUUCUAGGCCUGUCAUACGCUUGGAAAUUUCCAGUUAAAAUAUUUAUUUAUGAAAAAGGCGAAAAGAAAAGAAAAGCCACCCCCAGACUCUUUCAGGGAUAGAAAACAAAAAGGUGCCCCCAACGAAGAAUGAUUUAUCUGCCGACAAGAAGGGAAUGCUGCGUUUUCACUCAGCUGUUGCCGCCAAACAAAACAUGUGCCAUGGGGUGGCCAACUUUGUCAGGGAGGUGACAAGUUGGAAUCUCAGCUGCUGUGGUUCGGUAUGCAGAUGUGAUAUCGCACUGGAUGCAGAGUGACAGAAGUGGCCCUAAAAACCUGCAGAGCAGAGUCUCCAUGUGACCCUCUGAGGCACAUGGCUCCAAUUUCAGCUUCUCGCUGAGGUUCUGCACUUCAUCUUAGUCAAUCCUCAGCAGGGAGAGAGCUGCACUCUCCCCUCAGCCACAAAGAAGGGGUGGAGGGAGCUCUCACUGGGUGGGUCAAUAUUCUGGGGUCCCUGGGGAUUCCAAGGCUGACCCCAGUGGAGGAGGAGGGCAGACGGGGACAUAACAUGGCAGACUGCUCUCUCGAGGAAGUCAUAACCUUGUCCAUGACAGAGUUCCAUGUGGCUUUCUCUGUACUCCUCCCAGACACUGCCCAUGGAGCCCCAGGGACGCCCAGCCCUUUUAGGAAGACUACUAUUUAAGUGUGUAUAUGCCCGCUGGCUUCUCCCUGGAGAAAGGCAGCCAAGGGUUAAACUAAACCUCUCCUGAGAAAGAAAGCAUUAUUUCUUCGCCAUGCAUGAUGCAGGGAGGCUAACAAGGCCUCCUGGCUUCUCAUACUCUUUUUCCCUUAGUCAAGCACAUUAAAUAUGUUAAUAAAAGAUUCCCCAAUGCUUUCUCUAUCAGAAGCUUCCAGGUGGCUGCAAUGACCAUAGGUGCCCAAUUACCUGGUGAGGGCGUCCCAUGACUCACAGAUGGUUCUUUAUCUGGCUAUUAAAAUCUCCGUG